rnacentral:rRNA from 1 species
GACAGAGGAUGCAAGCGUUAUCCGGAAUGAUUGGGCGUAAAGCGUCUGUAGGUGGCUUUUCAAGUCCGCCGUCAAAUCCCAGGGCUCAACCCUGGACAGGCGGUGGAAACUGCCAAGCUGGAGUACGGUAGGGGCAGAGGGAAUUUCCGGUGGAGCGGUGAAAUGCGUAGAGAUCGGAAGGAACAUCAGUGGCGAAAGCGGCUUCCUGGACCAGAACUGACGAUCAGGCACGAAAGCGUGGGGAGCAAACAGG